rnacentral:misc_RNA from 1 species
CAUUUACUAUUUCAUAUCUCUUUGUGUACAGCGGUUCAUACAGCUUCUGGUAUUUAGUUUCAAGUGCAGCACUCUCCUCCAAAAACUUAGCUUGCAGUUCAUCAUGUUGACCCUGCAACUCUCUCAAAGCAUCAACGCGCUUCCUAACUUGUGGUGACAGUGUCGUAAGUAUGUCUGCGUCCUCCAUAGCCAAAUUCUGGAGCUUAUUCUUGAGUGCAUUUACCAAAAGAGCACGAUCUUCAGCGCUCAAAGCGGCGGCAGCGGCUGGGAGGAGAUCGGAAUCCGAGCGAUCUUUGAUCGAAAUGCUCAUGUUGAAUUCGUUACGAAAGAGUUGGAAGAAAA